rnacentral:rRNA from 1 species
GACGGCCACAUUGGGACUGAGAUACGGCCCAGACUCCUACGGGAGGCAGCAGUGGGGAAUAUUGCACAAUGGGCGCAAGCGUCUGAUGCAGCGACGCCGCGUGAGGGAUGACGGCCUUCGGAGUUGUAAACCUCUUUCGUCAGGGACGAAUGC